rnacentral:misc_RNA from 1 species
AACCAUUCUCACCUGCGGCUAGACCUGCGGAAGGAUCAUUACAGAGUUGCAAAACUCCCUAAACCAUUGUGAACGUUACCUAAACCGUUGCUUCGGCGGGCGGCCCGGGUCCUUCCCGGCGCCCAUCGGCCCUCGCGGGCGCCCGCCGGAGGUAAACCAAACUAUUGCAUUGUAUGGCCUCUCUGAGUCUUCUGUACUGAAUAAGUCAAAACUUUCAACAACGGAUCUCAGAUCGGAAGA